UUAGCAUUCUUAUUCUCCUCGAAGUCAAGAAUUUGCAUUUUUCAUUUUUCCAUCAAAGAGCAAUUUGAAGAGUAGAAAAAACCCUUCCGGUUGAAGGUUAGAAAUCAUUUUUAAUUAGUCGCGAAACGGGUUUGCUGUUUCAACGGAAAGGAAAACGAUGACAACGAGCGGUGAUGGUUCCCGUCGUGAGCGAUGGUGGUGGCAACGACAUCAGUCGCUGUUGAUGGCUUCGACGUUGCGGUUGGUGGCUGGUGGAGAGACCUUGGUUCUAUGGUAGCAGUGAUCCGAAGGGGAAGAGAAGAAAAUCCUAGUCUCUGCAGGUCUCCUUCAUCAAAGGUAUUAAAUAGUAAAGAUAUGAAACCAAAUUGAGAAUAUCGAAGCAAACUAUAAAGCCGACGAGAGAUUAAAGGCAAGAAUAUUAAAGGAAUUGGACUUGGACUGUACUUCCGACAAGGCAAAGAUGCAGGGUGUGGUUUAGGGGUUGAGCUACAGCAGGUGCGAGUUACACGUUUUCUGCAUCUGUGGAGGUUGCAGGUCCGAUCUGGUGGUUCUCGCAUGGUGCAGAUGCAGUGGUGGCUCGUCAAGCAUGGCGGCUACCGGCGAGAUCCAGAGCUGACGGUGGUGGCGCAAUUUCGCUGGCAGCUUGGUGGUUCAGUUUUCCGGCGAAGUUGGAGGUGAUGGUGGAUGCGCUGGUCUCGCGUCUGCAAUGGUGAUUGGAUGCGUGAUGUUGCUGUGAUGUGCAGAUGCGAAACGGAGAGGCUGGUUGGUGCGCGUCUCCUCCCCUCUGGCUCGCGCUCUCUGACUCGAAGGUGCAGGUGGAUGAAUGAAGGGUGAACACUGCUGGAGGAUGGCCGCGCCGCUGCUGGUUCGUGAAGUUGCUGUCAUGGCUACUGCACUGCAGUUGCGUUCGUGAAUGGCGCAGGCAUGGAGGUUCUGCUCACGGUGGUUUCCGGCGAGAAAAAGAUGGUGCGUUGUAGUUCGUGGUGCAGAUCUCGCUGAUGGUGGCGCGGUGGUGCGGUGGCUGCCGGCUCGCGUAGGAGUGGAAGGAGGCUCGAACAGUGGUGCGGCGCAGAUGAGACUGUGAAUGGAGAUGGUGUUGCGAACAGGUGCAGGGACGUUGGUUGAAGAUGAUGGAAGCUUGCAGGUUGCAGGUGCGUGGUUCGAACUGCUGGAGGUGCUGGUGGCUCGCAGUGGUCGGAAAAUUUGCUGCCGGCAAGGGUGGCGGCUGCCAUGGUGAUGGAAGGAGAGGAGAAAAUUAGGUUAGGGUUUCAUGUGAGAGAUGUGAGAGAUGGAAGAGAUGAUGACGUUGUCUAAUUGGUGCAUACGUGUUUACAAAGAUUAAUGACACGUGUUAGUUUAUGGUUGGUUUGAUUUGAAAAUUGAGGAUUAAGAGGUAGGAGGGGUGUAAAUAGACAUAUUUGGGGGUGCAUAAUAGGUUUUUGGUGAGACCCAUUUAGAAAGAGAUGAGUGUAUAAGUAAUGUACUGGGUGCAAAAAGUGAUUUUUCCAUAACUUCCUCAUUUUAACCUUA